rnacentral:ncRNA from 1 species
UAUCUGGUUGAUCCUGCCAGUAGUCAUAUGCUUGUCUCAAAGAUUAAGCCAUGCAUGUCUAAGUAUAAGCACUUGUACUGUGAAACUGCGAAUGGCUCAUUAAAUCAGUUAUCGUUUAUUUGAUUGUACCUUUACUACUUGG